rnacentral:rRNA from 1 species
GACGAGCGCUGGCGGCGUGCUUAACACAUGCCAGUCGAACGGAAAGGCCCUGCUUUUGUGGGGUGCUCGAGUGGCGAACGGGUGAGUAACACGUGAGUAACCUGCCCUUGACUUUGGGAUAACUUCAGGAAACUGGGGCUAAUACCGGAUAGGAGCUCCUGCUGCAUGGUGGGGGUUGGAAAGUUUCGGCGGUUGGGGAUGGACUCGCGGCUUAUCAGCUUGUUGGUGGGGUAGUGGCUUACCAAGGCUUUGACGGGUAGCCGGCCUGAGAGGGUGACCGGCCACAUUGGGACUGAGAUACGGCCCAGACUCCUACGGGAGGCAGCAGUGGGGAAUAUUGCACAAUGGGCGGAAGCCUGAUGCAGCAACGCCGCGUGCGGGAUGACGGCCUUCGGGUUGUAAACCGCUUUCGCCUGUGACGAAGCGUGAGUGACGGUAAUGGGUAAAGAAGCGCCGGCUAACUACGUG